AUCGCUUCUCGGCUCUCUGAGCUUAGAUCAUGUGUAGUAUCUGUUUUCCGCAGUGUAGUUUCUGCAACGGUCUUUGAACUGAGACCAAUGAAAUUACCUGUAUUUUUCACCUAUGGACGGGUGCUGUGAGCUUACUUAACCCCGACCACGGGUCGGCCUUGUAUUGUAUCCGUGGCUAGAAGCAUGUAUU
rfam:Schistosoma mansoni strain Puerto Rico chromosome 2, complete genome